rnacentral:rRNA from 1 species
ACGGGAGGCAGCAGUGAGGAAUAUUGGUCAAUGGGCGAGAGCCUGAACUAGCCAAGUAGCGUGCCGGAUGACGGCCCUAUGGGUUGUAAACUGCUUUUGUACGGGAAUAAAGUGACCUACGUGUAGGUUUUUGCAUGUACCGUAAGAAUAAGGACCGGCUAAUUCCGUGCCAGCAGCCGCGGUAAUACGGAAGGUCCGGGCGUUAUCCGGAUUUAUUGGGUUUAAAGGGAGCGUAGGCCGUGCUUUAAGCGUGUUGUGAAAUGUAGGCGCCCAACCUCUGCACUGCAGCGCGAACUGGAGCACUUGAGUACGCAGGAAGUAGGCGGAAUUCGUCGUGUAGCGGUGAAAUGCUUAGAUAUGACGAAGAACUCCGAUUGGGAAGGCAGCUUACUGGAGCGCCACUGACGCUGAUGCUCGAAAGCGUGGGUAUCGAACAGGAUUAGAUACCCUGGUA